GCGCGGCAGGUGCAAUCAGUCCUCUGUUGGUGUCUGAGCAAGCAUCGUUUUGGAGCCCUGCAUUCUCUGCACUUUGCCUUUCUCCAAGAGGGGAAUAUAGAAGAAAUGGCUCCUGUGUUCUUGGCAGCGAGAUCCCAGGAAUCAGUGACAUUCAAGGAUGUGGCUGUAAACUUCACUCAGGAAGAGUGGGGACAACUAAAUCCUGCUCAGAGGGACCUCUACAGGGAUGUCAUGCUGGAGAACUAUAGAAAUCUCAUCUCUCUGGGAUUCCAUAUUUCCAAACCUGAUGUGAUCUUUCAGUUGGAACAAGGACAAGAACCUUGGAUGCUUGAUGUGCAAGGAACUGAAGGGAAAGAGAUCCCAAGAGAUACCUCUUUGGUUUCAGGCUGGGAGAAAAUGCCCAAGACCUAUAAGUCAGUUCCGAAGCAGAACAUUUCAGAAGAAAUCAAAUCACCAGAGAUAGUAACAAAAAAAUCCACAAGAGAAGUACCUGAGGUUAGAUUGGAGAAGAAAAGAGAAAAUUCUGAAGGGAAGACAUUGGAAAAAUCUCUUUCCCAAGAGAGGGAUUUCAAGAAAGUUUCAAUCAAUGCCUCCAAAAAUCCCAGUAAGGAGAGAGGCUCUGAAUGUAAUAUAUGUGGGAAAACUUUCAGACACAUAAGUAGCCUUCGGAGACAUCAGAUUACUCACACAGGAGAAAGACCUUAUGAAUGUAAUGAAUGUGGGAAAGCUUUCUUUGACUGUUCAUCCCUUACUAUACAUGAGAGAAUUCAUACUGGAGAGAAGCCCUAUGAAUGUGAUGAAUGUGGAAAAGCCUUCUUUGACCGCUCGCAUCUUAAUCGACAUCAGAGAAUUCAUACUGGGGAAAAGCCCUAUGAAUGUGAUCAGUGUGGGAAAGCCUUCUUUGACAGAUCAUCUCUUACUCAACAUCAGAAGAUUCAUAGUAAAGAGAAGCCAUAUGAAUGCAGUGAAUGUGGAAAAACCUUUAUCCAAAAAAGAAAUCUUAAACGACAUCAAAUAACUCACACUGGGGAGAAACCCUAUGAAUGUGGUGUAUGUGGAAAAAUUUUCAGUCACAAGUCAUCUGUCAUCCAACAUCAGCGACGUUAUGCCAAAGAAUGACCCGUGAAUUCUGGGAAAGCUUCAGCCAAACUUGUCACUUUAUUAAAUGCUCCAGAUUCUAGGCAUGAUGAGAGACCACAUAAAAACUUAUGAUUAAUCUCCCUUAUUUUAAAUAAACCUGUUGUUCAGACUUAUUACUAUUUCUGCUUGCUAUUUAAUGUUUUUCUUCUUUUGCUGCCAAGCAAAAGAGCAAGUGGUCUGUGGAUGGUGUGUUAUGAGCUUGGUGUCAGAUACUCUAAGUACAAAAUGAACUGAAAACCUUUCUAAACAGUGGACUUUCCUUGGCCUUGUUGGGCCUCCAUCUGAGGGGGCACAAAUACUCAAGAGGAAACUUAAAGUCUCCUUAUCCUCCUAAAGCAUUUUUCUUCCUUGGCAAGAUGUUCAGCCACCAGCUCUACUGCCACUAGGAUGAAGUCCAACUUCCUUGACUUAGCAUGCGAGGCUUCCCACAAUCUGGCUUCAGCCAAUUAAGCCAACGUACUUCUCACUUUUCUUCUUCAUGAAUUCGUCACUUCAGCCCGAGCUACCAACUGUUGCCCAUUUAUUGGAGCAAGAGGAAGAGACGGGAAUGCAUGUUCUAAAGAGAGAGGCCGCAGGAAAUACCAACUCAGGUAAAUGAGGAAGUGAAUGAGAGCAAUGAGAGACAGAUGGGAGUCAUUAAAAAGAGCAGCUCUCAGUGGUUUAGUUGGAGGGAGUUCUCAGAAGCCCCAGGACGAUGUACCCCAAGGCAGAUGUGCUGCCUGAGAUCCAGUCUGGAAGAUCCUUCUUUUUAAGCAAGUUGCAAGGUGUGGUCACUUUUUCCCCAAUUGGAAUUCUUGUACUUCUCUUUUUAUAUAUAAUAUCUACCUUCUGCUAGUUCUUGUCUUCUCCACUUCUUCUUUCCUUACUCACUGGCUGUUUAUUUUUCCUAGAUCUUAUCUUUUCUCUGAUUCAUUCUUUGAUAUUCCUACUCCUCAGUCUUCUGCUCCACUUGACCUUCCUAUCUCUACUAAGCUCUUAGGUGGGCUAUCUGAUUUAGUUUGUUUAUUGGGCUAGCAACAUUCCCCCCACUUGUCUCCUGUUCACCUCUUUUCUCCCACUUCCACCUCUCCUCAGUUUACAGAUUAGUCUGCUUUUGAAAACUGCCAAUACCAGUGAUCCCCAGUAGACAUUGUUUCCUUAUCCUUUUUAUACUUGUAGCAUUUGUCCAGGUCUUAUUCUAGUCUCUUCCAUAUAGAAGGAGCUGCACCUAUCAUAUACAAUUGUGGUUGCUGCUCUCUACGAGUAGCCAUGCCAGGGGCGUGGAUAGAGACUUCAUUCUCUAUCUAUGAGGAAGAGCACAUCACAUCCUCUCCCUUCUACCCCUUGUCCCUCAUUCCUUCCCUUUCCUUUUCGGUGAGCCCUGCCCAGUGCCCUAUAUAUCAGGUAGCAGCUUCAUUGGCAAGUAGGUGGGGCUAGUCCUGUAAGGGAAGUGGGUAAGAUGUCUGGCUUCCCUACUUCCUGGGCCAGAUAAGGCCUAGCUUGAGGGGAUUUGGUGUCAGAGAUUUUAUCAGAGCUCUUGCUCACCAUGACCAGUUGUGGUGACUGUGGAGUCUGAGGAUGUGGUGUAGAGUCCUCAUACCUCAAACAUUCUAGCAGAGAUGACCCAUCUGUUGGGGUGUGGGGGAAGGGACUCGGGGAUUGGGCAAGAGUUUAAACUAG